AGGAAUAUUGGUCAAUGGGCGCGAGCCUGAACCAGCCAAGUAGCGUGAAGGAUGAAGGUCCUACGGAUUGUAAACUUCUUUUAUAAGGGAAUAAAGUCACCCACGUGUGGGUGUUUGUAUGUACCUUAUGAAUAAGCAUCGGCUAACUCCGUGCCAGCAGCCGCGGUAAUACGGAGGAUGCGAGCGUUAUCCGGAUUUAUUGGGUUUAAAGGGAGCGUAGACGGGUCGUUAAGUCAGCUGUGAAAGUUUGGGGCUCAACCUUAAAAUUGCAGCUGAUACUGGCGUCCUUGAGUACGGUUGAGGCAGGCGGAAUUCGUGGUGUAGCGGUGAAAUGCUUAGAUAUCACGAAGAACCCCGAUUGCGAAGGCAGCCUGCUAAACCGCCACUGACGUUGAGGCUCGAAAGUGUGGGUAUCAAACAGGAUUAGAUACCCUGGUAGUCCACACAGUAAACGAUGAAUACUCGCUGUUUGCGAUAUACGGCAAGCGGCCAAGCGAAAGCAUUAAGUAUUCCACCUGGGGAGUACGCCGGCAACGGUGAAACUCAAAGGAAUUGACGGGGGCCCGCACAAGCGGAGGAACAUGUGGUUUAAUUCGAUGAUACGCGAGGAACCUUACCCGGGCUUAAAUUGCAUUUGAAUAUAUUGGAAACAGUAUAGCCGCAAGGCAAAUGUGAAGGUGCUGCAUGGUUGUCGUCAGCUCGUGCCGUGAGGUGUCGGCUUAAGUGCCAUAACGAGCGCAACCCUUAUCUUUAGUUACUAACAGGUCAUGCUGAGGACUCUAGAGAGACUGCCGUCGUAAGAUGUGAGGAAGGUGGGGAUGACGUCAAAUCAGCACGGCCCUUACGUCCGGGGCUACACACGUGUUACAAUGGGGGGUACAGAAGGCAGCUACCUGGUGACAGGAUGCUAAUCCCAAAAACCUCUCUCAGUUCGGAUCGAAGUCUGCAACCCGACUUCGUGAAGCUGGAUUCGCUAGUAAUCGCGCAUCAGCCAUGGCGCGGUGAAUACGUUCCCG
rnacentral:rRNA from 1 species